UGGAAGUGAACCUUGCCAACAGUCAUCUCUCAAGGUGAAAGGAUGAGCAAGAGUAGUUCUCAGUGAACUGCUUUGGGUAGCUCUUGAGCAGUAAGUGAUAUAAAAACCCUACCAAAGUUCUGAAGCACCAGUAGAAUUAGACCCGGGAGCUCAAAAGAGUUGAGACAGGCUCAGACCCUUCAUAUCUUUUAUCCCCUGUGUUGAAUCAGUCACAGGACUGUGAAAAACUCUUCACUCAACUGGUUCCUGGGAGAUUAAUCAGAAUUGUGUCAUUGGGAUGAUUCUUUUCAUCCUUCAUUUGAAACUGCCUGGAAAGGAGUGAAAAAAGUAUCACGAAGGGAGCUUUCUAAAU